rnacentral:rRNA from 1 species
AUUAGCUAGUUGGUGAGGUAAAAGCUCACCAAGGCAGCGAUCAGUAGCUGGUCUGAGAGGACGAUCAGCCACACUGGGACUGAGACACGGCCCAGACUCCUACGGGAGGCAGUAGUGGGGAAUUUUCCGCAAUGGGCGAAAGCCUGACGGAGCAAGACCGCGUGAGGGAGGAAGGCUCUUGGGUUGUAAACCUCUUUUCUCAGGGAAGAAGCUCUGACGGUACCUGAGGAAUCAGCCUCGGCUAACUCCGUGCCAGCAGCCGCGGUAAUACGGAGGAGGCAAGCGUUAUCCGGAAUUAUUGGGCGUAAAGCGUCCGCAGGUGGCGAUUCAAGUCUGCUGUCAAAGCACGGGGCUUAACUCCGUUAAGGCAGCGGAAACUGAAUAGCUAGAGUGCCGUAGGGGUAGAGGGAAUUCCCGGUGUAGCGGUGAAAUGCGUAGAGAUCGGGAAGAACAUCGGUGGCGAAAGCGCUCUACUGGACGGCAACUGACACUCAGGGACGAAAGCUAGGGGAGCGAAUGGGAUUAGAUACCCCAGUAGUCCUAGCUGUAAACGAUGGAUACUAGGUGUAGCUUGUAUCGACCCGAGCUGUGCCGAAGCUAACGCGUUAAGUAUCCCGCCUGGGGAGUACGCACGCAAGUGUGAAACUCAAAGGAAUUGACGGGGGCCCGCACAAGCGGAGGAGCAUGUGGUUUAAUUCGAUGAUACGCGAGGAACCUUACCUGGGCUUGAACGUAUGGUGCAUGAGUGUGAAAGCACUCUUUCCUUCACAGGACUUCAUACGAGGUGCUGCAUGGUUGUCGUCAGCUCGUGCCGUGAGGUGUUAGGUUAAGUCCUGCAACGAGCGCAACCCCUGUUUUUAGUUGCCAGCAGGUUAUGCUGGGCACUCUAGAAAGACUGCCUGCGCAAGCAGAGAGGAAGGUGGGGAUGACGUCAAAUCAGCACGGCCCUUACGUCCAGGGCUACACACGUGCUACAAUGGUCGGCACAGAGGGUGGCUACCCGGCAACGGGAUGCUAAUCUCCAAAGUCGAUCUUAGUUCGGAUCGAAGUCUGCAACUCGACUUCGUGAAGUUGGAUUCGCUAGUAAUCGUAUAUCAGCCAUGAUACGGUGAUACGUUCCCGGGCCUUGUACACACCGCCCGUCAAGCCAUGGAAGUUGGGGGUACCUGAAGUCG